GUGUUCACUUUAGUAACACAUAUACUAAGGUUGAAACAAUACAGAGAAGAUAGGCAUGGCCUCUGAGCAUGACCCUCAAGUUAGUGAAGCAUGCGGUAUUAAA